GCCAGCUCUGGUGGGAGGGAGUCAAGGGACCCUUUUGGUAUGUGUGACAAACUCCCACCAAAGCCUGUCCCACAGCCUGCAGUCUUUUCUGGCAGUUCCAAGGAAAUGCAACUUCAGGAUCUCCCCAGCUAGUGAGAGAAGACCCCGUUCCACCCCUUCUAAGGAAGCUUUUCAACAUCGUGAGGAUUGCAUAAUCAACUCUGAACAUCUGGAAUAGGAGCCUGACUGAACAGAGCAGAAGUGAACUUUCCCGGAGCUCCCAUACUCCAUCCACUCAACUCAACAAAUGUUGACUUAGUGCCUAUGAUGUACAGCACUCAGUGCUAAAAUGCAGUAGGGAAAUAAAUAAGUCUCUUUGGUCUGAUUGAA
rnacentral:lncRNA from 10 species